rnacentral:rRNA from 1 species
GUGCUAAUACAUGCAAGUCGAGCGGACAGAAGGGAGCUUGCUCCCGGAUGUUAGCGGCGGACGGGUGAGUAACACGUGGGUAACCUGCCUGUAAGACUGGGAUAACUCCGGGAAACCGGAGCUAAUACCGGAUAGUUCCUUGAACCGCAUGGUUCAAGGAUGAAAGACGGUUUCGGCUGUCACUUACAGAUGGACCCGCGGCGCAUUAGCUAGUUGGUGAGGUAACGGCUCACCAAGGCGACGAUGCGUAGCCGACCUGAGAGGGUGAUCGGCCACACUGGGACUGAGACACGGCCCAGACUCCUACGGGAGGCAGCAGUAGGGAAUCUUCCGCAAUGGACGAAAGUCUGACGGAGCAACGCCGCGUGAGUGAUGAAGGUUUUCGGAUCGUAAAGCUCUGUUGUUAGGGAAGAACAAGUGCAAGAGUAACUGCUUGCACCUUGACGGUACCUAACCAGAAAGCCACGGCUAACUACGUGCCAGCAGCCGCGGUAAUACGUAGGUGGCAAGCGUUGUCCGGAAUUAUUGGGCGUAAAGGGCUCGCAGGCGGUUUCUUAAGUCUGAUGUGAAAGCCCCCGGCUCAACCGGGGAGGGUCAUUGGAAACUGGGAAACUUGAGUGCAGAAGAGGAGAGUGGAAUUCCACGUGUAGCGGUGAAAUGCGUAGAGAUGUGGAGGAACACCAGUGGCGAAGGCGACUCUCUGGUCUGUAACUGACGCUGAGGAGCG